CAUUAAGAAGCUUUCAGACAAGCAAUAGCCUUUUAAGCUAAAGAUCGGUGAUUAAGCCCACCCUUAAUGA
rnacentral:tRNA from 1 species